AUAGUAACAAUUUGUAUAGCUUGCAAACUGUUUUUAAUUUGAGUAGGUGGUUUAGAACAUCUUUUUGAUGAAUACAUUAUAGUUUUUAUUGAUGUUUGGGGAGAGCCUGGCCGAGCUGCACCACGUGAGCCUGGCCUCGCUGCUGCGCGCCCACCUCGCGUGUGUGCUCUGGCCGCUGCUGGCGGCCGUCAGCUGAGCGCGGCGACCCCCCCCUUCCCGCGCCACACCAAGUGCCUAGGAGACCUCGCUGCGCCGGCCCCCGCCCGCAGCGCGCCCGUCGCUCCCCCCACGCGAGGCAGGCAUUGGACCAUGUCGAGGGCCAGUUGACUCAUUUUUAACGAUACUUUCAACUUCCAGUUUCAGACCCCGAGUCGCGGAUGAUUUUUAGGUAUGAAAAUCAAGGCAUUAUAUUAUCAUGAAUCAAAUGUUACAUAAAUAAAGUAUUUCAAAAGUG